CUGAAAGCUGGAAUGAAAAUGAGGGGAUUUGUGCCGUAAGCGGCGCGGAUGUGUUUACGUGGGGUGGCUGCUGCGGCGGCAGUGCGGCACUGGGCUGUGCUGGGCGGGGCUGUGCUGUGUGCGGCCGCUUUGGUCUCUCCUGAGAUUCGGUGCUUCGUCCGUGGGAGGGAGGCGCUGCGCUCGGCUGUUUGGCCGUCUCCGGCUCAAGCUGAACGUGGGCUCGAAACGCAGAGAUCAGCGGAGCAGCGAACUGAGAGCGGGGCGGGCACCGCCGGCGGAGGGGUGUCAGUGCUGUGCCACCGCUGCGGGUGUGAGCCUGGCGGGCGGCAAGCCGAGGAAAUUGCCUUGGAAGCCGUGUAAGGUGCUCAAAGGCUGCUCUACCGUUGGAACCAAAAUUAACUUUUUGGAAUGCACUGCCAAGUACAAAUCACAAAUCAAAAGGAGAAGGGUGCAUUUCAAGAGGAAAUACCACCUUGAUGGUGAGAGAUCUGAAUGCUUGAGAGAUAUGAAAGAGGGAAUGUAACCAAGGGGUGAGCAGUGUGAUGGAAGGAUUUGCUGCAGAAUCACAUCACAUCUGCGUUAACUUGGAGCCAAUGUUCCUUUGUGCUUCAACAUUGCUGGAUGAAAAUUCCUGACUUCAGAGUGUGUGGAGGUGAAGAUUAGCAAAAGCUACGUUAGGAUUCAGGCGGUGCUGCCAGCUGCAUGCUUAAAAAGAGAUUCUGUGGAGAGAACGCUUGUCUCCUGCACAUGGAAGGACCUUUGGAAAAGAAUAAGAAACGGGCAAUGGUUUCAGUGCCUCCACCCCUCGAAGGUGAGAUGGAAGCAGGAAGGCCUGCGGAGUUCUAAGGGUGAGAAAUGGUACUAUUGUGAAAAAUUUUUACAUCUGGGAAGGAUAAAAAUAGGAGCCGGGAAGUGAUUGGGCUCACUUCGUGACUAUUACCAGAUGGGAAGAAUGCAAAUACAGGCGUGCACGGCUUUUGUGUUUGGUUGAUUGAAUGUGAAUGGCUCAAUGGGCAGCGAGCCUCGCAGAGCAAUGGGGAGAGUGGGGCUGGGGGUCCG
ensembl:lncRNA